GGAGUCUAGCAUGUGCGCGAGUCAUUGGGAUCGUAGCUAAACCUAAAGGCGAAAUGAAAGUGAAGGCGCGCCUCGCGCGCGCCGAGGGAGGAUGGGUGCGGCUCCGUGCCGCGCCCCGCACUCCCGGGGCGUCUCGUUCUCAUCGCGAGAAGAGGCGCACCCAGAGCGUACACGCUGGGACCCGAAAGAUGGUGAACUAUGCCUGGUCAGGACGAAGUCAGGGGAAACCCUGAUGGAGGUCCGUAGCGAUUCUGACGUGCAAAUCGAUCGUCGGAACUGGGUAUAGGGGCGAAAGACUAAUCGAACCAUCUAGUAGCUGGUUCCCUCCGAAGUUUCCCUCAGGAUAGCUGGCGCUCGCUUUUGCGAGUCUCAUCCGGUAAAGCGAAUGAUUAGAGGCAUUGGGGUCGAAACGGCCUCAACCUAUUCUCAAACUUUAAAUGGGUGAGAUCUCCGGCUUGCUUAAAUUUCUAUUUAUGAAGCCGCGAGAUCGGAUCAGAGUGCCAAGUGGGCCAUUUUUGGUAAGCAGAACUGGCGCUGUGGGAUGAACCAAACGCGGAGUUAAAGCGCCUAAAUCGACGCUUAUGGGAUACCAUGAAAGGCGUUGGUAACUUAAGACAGCAGGACGGUGGCCAUGGAA
rnacentral:rRNA from 1 species